GGCAGAUGAAUCACAAGGCAAGUCUCUGAUACAGGAUUGGAGCCCAGGCCACUUCUCGCACUGAACAAGGUCACAUCAACAAGUAGGAUGACAACAGAUAGUUCUGCAAAGUUGGUGGAAGAAACCACCAAAAUUACUUCUGGAAUUCUCAAGAUGGCUUCCAGGAACAGUCUCCAUUGUGUGGUGGUUAAGAUAUAAAAAGUGAAUGUAUUCCUGAUUGGACAUUUGCUUUCUCUGAACUGGAAAAGUUGAAGGGGAAAACUGAAAUUCAGGAAAGGUUAACACAAUGAUUACAGUAAGCUUAUUAAAAUAUCUGAAGAGAAUUGGUGAAAUGUGGUGCUCACUACACUCUGUAGCUUCUGCUCUUCCUUGUUUUAAUUGGCAGAGGUGUUCUUCCUCUUCAAAUUGAUUCCAAUACUCCAUGUCAUUCCUCCUAACACCGGCCCCCUCCCAAAGGAGAGUUUUAUCUUAAUAGAUACUGAGACAUUCCUGAAGAGGACAUUUCCUCAUCACCUGUGUACAAAACAGCCUCAAGGACGUGGGAGGAAGAAGGUGCUCUAGAAGACUUGGCUGAUGCAUUAUGAUGGGCAAUUGAGGCAAGGGGCUUGGCUCAGCUGAAUCAAUUAGAGAUGCCC
rnacentral:lncRNA from 1 species